AUGAAUGCUGGCGGCGUGCCUAAUACAUGCAAGUCGAGCGGCAGCGAGGGUCUCAUCCUAUUCUGGAAGUUUUCGAGAAUAGAAUGAGAUCUGUCGGCGAGCGGCGGACGGCUGAGUAACGCAUGGGAACGCACCCCAAACUGAGGGAUAACUAGUCGAAAGAUUAGCUAAUACCGCAUGUGAUCUUCGGAUUAAAGCUUUCGGGCGGUUUGGGAGCGGCCUGUGUACGAUUAGAUAGUUGGUGAGGUAAUGGCUCACCAAGUCAACGAUCGUUAGAUGGUUUGAGAGGAUGAUCAUCCAGACUGGGACUGAGACACGGCCCAGACUCCUACGGGAGGCAGCAGUAGGGAAUCUUUCACAAUGGGCGAAAGCCUGAUGGAGCCAACGCCGCGUGCAGGAUGAAGGCCUUCGGGUUGUAAACUGCUUUUAUAAGCGAGGAAUAUGACGGUAACUUAUGAAUAAGGAUCGGCUAACUACGUGCCAGCAGCUGC
rnacentral:rRNA from 1 species